UUUGUGCUGAUGUUAAAUGUUCAGUAAUAAAUAUUUUGAUGGAUUACUCACAUAUUUGAUAUGAUCUAGGAUUAUUUCAGAAUGAUAGGUUAGUAAAUCUAUGUUUGACUAGAUUUUUUUAUAUACUCGCCUUUUGUCGUUUUAACAUUGACUAUAAAAAUCUGCGUUGAGUACGCCUCAUAACAAGAUUUGAGACCUAAAGACCAUGGAUUUGCUUUAACUCGAAGGAAAUACUGGAUGGAUUGUACGGACUCAUGCUUAUCAAUUUUUAUGCCCAUUCAAGCUGUGAGUGUGAAUAUUUCGGCUUGUAUGGUCAUGAAAAAAUAUCAUCACAAAGUCAAUAUUUGUAGGAUUUUUGCAUGUUAAGUAUGAUUUUUUUAUUUCUCAUCAAAUACACAUUCAAUCGUAACUAAAAUCAUGAAGAAUAAACAUGUUCAAUGUGCUUUUCUGUCAUUCUUCGUUUGGUCGUUGAAGGGUUCGGACGUGUUUUUCGAAGCUCUCGACGUCGUGACCUCAUUAUAAUUUGAACUGCGCGGGUAAAGAACGCUCAGUUGCGACUUGGAGAUUGACCAAUACGGACGUGUUUUUAAAGCGCUCUGAAAAAAGUUUUGACUUUUAAAUUUUUUUUACUACGACAGAAUCUUAGUUGACUGAUGGUCUUUGACAAAGACAGACUUGUUUUUGUGAGCUCUGAAAAAAAUUUGACUUUGAAAUAUUUUUACGAUUAAAAAGUUUCAGUUGACUUUUGAACGUUGACGAAGACGGACGUACUUUCGUGAGCUCUGACUAUUGAUGAAAAGUUUUGAGUUUUACUGACUUGUACUUUGAGAGUUAAAUUGACUUCGCGUUAUAGAAUAUGACUUGGUACUCGGGUUAUUGAAUGACUGGUGGACUUUAGUGUUAGGUUAUUGUUAUGAGAUGACGACUUGACUUUGACUUGAGUUGUGUGCAAUUAAAUUUGUGUUGUGGUGUGAAUCGAUUGACUGUCAGUUGAAGUUCAGAUGUCGUGCUGUGUGGAUGGGUUUCUACAAAACGUGAGUACAAACUUUUGUGUUUGACUGUUGACGUGUCUCACUGUGUAUGAUGAUUUAUGAUGAUUUUAAGCGGCUGGCGUAUUAUUGCUGAGUUGUUGUACUGAUAGAGAAGUGAAAUGAGUUGGGCAUAAAUUACUCAGUACUGAUAUAGUGUCGAUAUGUUGUGAUGAGAGAUGAUGGUGUUACAAAAUAUUUACUGAGCUACUUUGGGAAACGAACAGAUGAUGUAAAAACAUUGGAAACAUAUUUCAUGAAAAUGCAUGUGCUUAUAUGUACUAAAUAUGACAUUGCUUUACUUGUAUUUGCAUGCUGUUAACAUUUCUAUUUUAUUCCAGUGGGCUGUGGUGAGUAUUGCAGAUUUAACUUGUAUGUGUGGUUUUUAGUUAACGAUGCUUAAUGAAAACUGUUAUUGUACACUUAGUAUGGAAUGAUGUGAAUGAUGAUAUGAUGGGUAGAAUUAAUCAGUGCUUGUGUCUAGAAAUGCUGAAUGUUUAUUGAAAAGGCUAAAUGCUAGCCAGUACUAAAAGUUGAGCUACCGUGGAAAUGUGAAACGAACUGAUGGUGUAAUAUGAUGGUGUAUUGACAUACUUUUCUUAUAUGUACUAAAUAUGAUAUUGCUUUACUUGUAUUUGCAUGCUGUUAACAUUUCUAUUUUGUUCCAGUGUGCUGUGGUGAGUACUGUAGAUAUUACUUGAUUUUUAGUGUCUAUGAAUGCUGAUGUAUGAUAGCUAUAGCAUGAGCUCAAUGCUAACCAGUAUUAUGAGUUGAUGUAUUGUGGUGAUGCUAAUCGAACUGAUGAUGUAACAUGAUGGUGAACACUUACUGAAUGCAUAAAAUUUAUUGAAUUGCGUUUGUUGAUAUGCACUAUAAUAUGAUAAAUGUAUUGCUUAACAUGUAUAUUUCAUGAUGUUUAAUUUCAGUGGGCUGUGGUGAGUACUGUAGAUUGUAUUGCCUAUGUAUAGAAUUCAAUAAAAGAUUAUGACUGAAAACUGCUUUUGAUUCUUUUUGAACAGUUUUAGGGACUAUAAGUCUUUAACAAAAAUAUGUCGGUUGGCGUUCAUACAGCAAUGUUUUGAGUAGUACAGAAAUGUUUCUACGUUUGUGGUCGCCAGUUGUCUGUGAUGUGUAAAGUGAAAAAUACACGGAGCUUUGAAUACAACAAACAUUUACUGUUUUAACACAGAUUGUGUGCUAUGCAUUUUUCGAUGUAGAUCUUUUUCAGAUUUGACAUGAAAUGUAGACCUGACAUUUGAACAGAGCUGGGAAACGAAAAGGUAAGUUUGUUAAAUUUCACAAUGAACACUUGUGUUUUGACAAAAGAAGAGAUAAAGUGAGUUUUGUCAUCAUCAUGGUUUCUUUCAGAGUAUAACUCGUGAACAGAUGAAAACCUAUUUUUUGCUAGAUUUUCAUGUACUCUUUUUUUGGAUGAUAAGUAUGUCAGUAACUCAAAAUCAUACGGCUAGUACAGUAUGGAACAUGAAUGCUUUGUUCAGAUUUUCAGAUGUGUGCUGGCAGUUUAAGUCUGGCAGCUGAAGUGAACAGUCGUGUUUUCUGGAGCUCCAACAAUAUGCUAGAAGGUAAGUAACUAUGUUUGUUUUGCAUUGCAUGUUUUUAUAUGUUUCAGACUUUCAAGCAGAGAUGUCAUGCUGACUGGAGUUGAGCACAGGGCAGUGACAAAGUGAAAGGUAAGUACUUUUGACUGAAUGUUUGUUCUAUGCAUGUUUUGUUUCAAUACAUUUCAGGAGUGCUUAUCCAGUGAUGAUAUGACAGUUGGAGUGAACAGUGGAGCCAAGCAGUCUUGUUUUUGGAGCUACUCAACAAGCCUUGAAGAUGCUGAUGGCAGUGAUGGGUUUUCAAGCUGACCUGAACAGAAAAGCACUCAUAUGGUAAGUACAAAAUAGUUGUUAUAUGGGAUGUUUUGUGCAUGCUUUUAUGUUUCAGGUGUACUUGCUGACAGCGACGAAGACGAAUCAAGAAGAGGAACAUUGUUCAGAAAGUGAUUGGGACUUGCAAACAGGGUAAGUGUAACACUUGUGUUUGUUUAAUUUGUAACAUGCGUGCUUUGCUCUGUUUCAGAUUUUACAUGCAGAAAUUAAACAGGAUUUCAACUGCUGAGACACAAUUCAUCACAAGUAAGGUAAGUUUUAAUUCAUUGAUUUGAGUUGUACAAUGUGUUCUUUACUUUAUUUCAGAUUCGAGUCACUGGUUUACACAUGGAAGAAGAUUUCCACGUCGGUUACUCAACUCUACAGAAGCAAGGUAAGUCGAUCAAAUUUUUGUUUUCAUUUGUACUGCUGUAAUGUGAUAGUAAACUUAUGCUAUUUUUCAUGUGUGUCAUGUACAGAUGGAUAAUUCAAAAUUGAUCUGUGUUGGUUUAUGUUCAAAAACGUUUUACAUGUAUGUGUGUUUGAAGAUGUUUUGUUUCAGUGGAUGUCCAGAUGGCAAGCAGAACAGACGUGUUUCUUGGAGCUGCCAAACAGUGAGUACAAACGUUUUAUAUUUUUCAGUUGUUUACUCAUAGAAGUCUGUGAAAGAUGAUAACAAGGGUUGAAUUGCACAGUACUUGUGUCUAAAAAUGCUGAUGUGUGACGGUUUACUGAAAAGGGUAAAUGCUAGCCAGUACUAACACUUGAGCAACCGUGGGAUGUCGAACUAACUGAUGAUGUACUAUGAUGGUGAACACUUACUUUGUGUAUCGAAAUGCUUUUGUUGAUAUUUACUAAAUAUUGAUUGACAUUUGUUUGCAUGCUGUUAACAUUUCUAUUUCAUUUCAGUUGGCUGUGGUGAGUAUUGUAAUAUACAUUUGUUUCAAUAAAUCAUGAUGAAUGAACACUGAUUUCGAUUCUUUUUUACAGUUUUAGGGAUUAUCACUCUAUAACAACUCUGUCGGUUGGUGUUCGUGAAUGUGAGCUUAAUGUUUGAGUAGUACAAAAAUGUCUUUACUUUUGUGAUCGCCAGUUGUCUGUGAUGUAAAGUGGAAAAAACACAGCUAUGAAGCAUACAAUUGUUUCAAUAUUUUAUCAAUGAUAGUGUGCUAUGCAUGUUUUGAUUUAGUUCGUUUCAGAUACGACAUGACAUGAAGAGUUGACAGUCGAACAGAGCUGAGCAAAGCAGAAAGGUAAGUGUGUUUCAUUUUAGUAUGGACACUUGUAUUUUGUUUUUAUAUGGUAUGUUUUGUGCAUGCUAUGUUUCAGGUGUACUUGUAGUCAGCGACGAAGACGAUUCAAGAAGAGGAACAUUGCUGAGAAAGUGAAUGGGACUUGCAAACAGGGUAAGUGUUACAAUUGUUUGUUUGAUUUUUACCAUGCAUACUUUGCUUUGCUCUGUUUCAGAUUUCACAUGCAGAAAUGGUCUCAUAGCAGUGCCAACAGUGAAUAAGGAUUUCAGCUGCUGUGAAACAACUCAACAGAAAGUAGGUAAGCAUUGAAUGAAUGCACUUGAGUUGUACAAUUUGAUGUGAUGCUUUUCUCUGUUUCAGAUUCAAGUUCCUGGUGUAGACAGAGAAAUGUGUUUGAAGAAGGAAUUCUACUACUGUGAUUCAACUCUACAGAAGCAAGGUAAGUAGAAACAAAAUUUUGGUUUAAUUUAACUCAUGUGUUUUGCACUGCAUGCUAUUUUUCAGGUCUCUCAUGCAGUGAUGCAAAAGAAGAAGAUUUCAAGAAAGAAUCACUGCUGCAACUCAGGCCUAUAACAAGGUAAGUGUUUACUAUAUUGUAUACAAAAUGUUUCUCUGUUUUACUCUGUUUGAAGGUUUCAAUUGCAGAGAUGUUGCAGAGAUGUUUUGACAGCUUGUGACAGAAAAGAAAUUCAGCAGCUGUGUCUCAACUCUAGCCACGAGGUAAGUCAAAACAAAUAUACUGGUUUGUAUGUUAUGUUGUUAUGCCCUUCUAUGUUUCAGACUUACAUUGCUGUGACUGUUCCACAGUGGGUCAAAAAAGAGACGAAUACAGGUUUCAAGAAGAAAAUUGGCUGUUAAAAACCUGCACAAAAUAUGAGGUAAGUAAACUACUCUUUUGGUUUGUUUUGUGCUUUGUUAUGCUUGACUAUUUUUCAGAUUGGAAUGGUGGGUCGUUACAGAGCAGACUUUUGGACAACUGAGAAGUUGAGAAACAGAGAAUGAUUCAAUAUCAGCUAGGUAAGUCUUGAUUAUUCUGCAUUGUAAAAUGUGUUUCUUUUUCAUUUCAGUAUGGCUGUGGUAAGUACACUAACUUUCUAUAAUUUCAUAUUGAACUGUUUUGAUGACUUGUAUUAUGCAUUGCUAAAUGUUUUUUUCAUUUCAGUAUCCUGUGGUAAGUACACUAACUUUCUAUAAUUUCAUAUUGAACUGUUUUGAUGAUUUGUAUACUGCUAUGCAUUGCUAAAUGUUUUUUUCAUUUCAGUAUAGCUGUGGUAAGUACACUAACUUUCUUUAAUUUUCAUAUUGAACUGUUUUGAUGACUUGUAUUCUGCUAUACAAAAUGUGCUUUUUUCAAUUUCAGGUCAGCAAUGGUAAGUUUAUUGUGUUUCUUUAUGUAUAAUUUUGUAUACAUAUUGUUUUUUUCAUCAUAGCAUGUUUUUUAUAUUUAUGCUUUGUGUAAGUAAAAUGUUCAUAAAUCAUUCUUAUCUUUAAACUAAAAAUGUAUUUUGAUAUGCAAAAUGUCUGUAUGAUUUCAGUUGCCAGAGGUGAGUACCAUUACAGUUGAAAAGUUAGUUUUGUUUAGUUAAAGUUUUGGUUCACAGUUCUGUUUAUUAUUUGGCAAAAUUUACAUGUAUGCAUUGAGUCUUGAUUUCAGCUCGAUUGUGGACUGAAGAAGAUUGCCAGCAGAGGGAUUGGAUACAAAAUACAAAGUAAGUACUGAGUUUCUUACUAAAAGUUUUGAGUUGUAUUCAUUGUGUGUUAAUAUGCUAUGAUUGCUAUGAACAUGACUUUUGUAUUUCAGCGAAGACAACAUAGGUAAGUAAAAUUGUUAUCUGUUUCAAGUUUACUGUUAUAGUUCAAUAUUGUGUUUAUAAAUUGUAAGUUGUACAAACACAUUCAAAAGUUUCUGAUCAUGCUUUCAAUUUCAUUUCAGCCCUACUACAAGACGAGUGUUUUCUACUACUAGACGUGUCAGGUUUACUUCCAGGCGAGCAGUGACAACAAGGCGCCUUUGUGGAAACAGCAAAACAAACAACUCUACUGCAAGACGAGCAGUAACAGCAAGGCGCCUGAACAUGCAACACAAUAAAAAAAAUGCCAAUUUGCAAACCUUGAUGUGGACACCGAGUAGUCAAUACAUACGUGUGGCGUAUAGCUGCGACAAAACCGUGGGUCCAUCGCACCGAUAACUUGAACAUUGGCCCGUGUAUGGACAUCAGUGCAACUUUGUGAAUCCAUGUAUCUUUGUGAAUCCAUGUAACAUUGCGAAUGUGUGUCGAUCGAAAAAUGUGUACAUUCUGAACUGAAACGAACUCGGUGUUGCAAGUGGCAAGUGUUGACAGUGUGUAUGUUUAUGUUUAUGUUUUUACAUGAAAACUAAAGGAGAUUGUUCUCCUACCUUUUUUUUCCUUGUUUUAUUGCGCUGGCCAGCAAUAUUGAUGUAUUGAUGUAUGUGUUUGUGUUUAAACUAUGCAAUACCAAAAUCAAACAAAAAAUAAACAUUAACAGUCAUUAACUGUGUUUGGGCGGCCGAGGGGUUUAAGACUCCACAAGUGUGAAGCGCACUGAUAGCACUUGGGGGUGAACACCUCGGUAUUUCGGUGCUAAAAUGUUUUCACGGUGCUUAUCUUGACGCACUGUUAAGACUACCAACCAGUUAAUGAUUGCUUCAUCUUUAAACAAAAAGUAAGUCUCUACUUUGGCACAAGAGACUCCAAGUACCAAAUACCAACAAUUAAAAAGCAGACGUUUUUCAAAACUAUGAUCGCUGAGAUUGAUAGUCAGAUGGAGUCCUGCCCAUUUAGCUGUGUAGCGGUCUAGGGCGGGGUUGCAAGUCAAUACGAAAUGAGGCGCUAUAAAGCAACUCGUCCCCGUUAUGACCGUCAAUACUUUCGACACUAUCUGGGAAUCCUUUCAACACCACAUUGUUGCGCUGUUGGAAGGGUGGUAGGCACGCAUGGUGACAUGCCUGUGCUUUGCUAUGCGACACCAUGGUAUUUUCGUACGGUGACACGAAAUAUCUUAAUCUGGCUCUCUCAGAAACGCAGGCACGCGUUGACCGAACCUGACCGAUGACCGAGCAAUAACAUUUCUAUUAAGUGCUUCAAUGCACAAAGUCUGCUAGGCUGGGUGGGAA